rnacentral:rRNA from 1 species
UCUUCGGCAAUGGGCGAAAGCCUGACCGAGCGACGCCGCGUGUGCGAUGAAGGCCUUCGGGUUGUAAAGCACUGUCGUGGGGGAGAAAGGGAAACUUGAUCGACCCCAGGAGGAAGCUCGGGCUAAGUUCGUGCCAGCAGCCGCGGUAAGACGAACCGAGCGAACGUUGUUCGGAAUCACUGGGCUUAAAGGGCGCGUAGGCGGGCGAUCAAGUCAGGGGUGAAAGCCCCCAGCUCAACUGGGGAAGUGCCUCUGAUACUGAUCGUCUCGAGGGGGAUAGGGGCGUGCGGAACUUCCGGUGGAGCGGUGAAAUGCGUAGAUAUCGGAAGGAACACCGGUGGCGAAAGCGGCGCGCUGGAACCCUUCUGACGCUGAGGCGCGAAA